AGGUGAUUAUAGCGAUGGGGCUCACCUCUUACCAUUCCGAACAGAGAAGUUAAGCCCAUUAGCGCCGAUGGUACUGCCA
rnacentral:rRNA from 1 species